AACAAACAAACGACAGGAACAGAGACGCAGGCUCAACAAAAGCAGUGCUCUCAAACAACUACCCACAAGUGACAAACAAAACACACACCUAUUUAUAGGACUCCCAAUCAGAGGCAACUAGAAACACCUGCCUCCAAUUGAGAGUCCAGCACCCAACCUACACAGAAAAACUACCCUAGAACAUACACAUAGAAAUACAAACAUAGACCAGUGACCAAAAAAAAAACGUAAUACAUAAAUAAACUAUCCUCUGCCACGUCCUGACCAAACUACAAUAACAAAAUAUCCUCUAUACUGGUCAGGAUGUGACAGUGGAUUUGUUAUUCAGUAGGGUUGUGGGAACCCCCUACCAUAUCAGGAGCAAACGACUGAGGCAGUAUGUGGCUAGGUACCAAACCCACUUCACGUUGGUCACAUUUGAGUAUGUCAAACUACAACCAGAUAUCAGUUGUCUGUCCUGGAAUUCACCGAACAAUCAUUGACAAUGUAAUCAGUGCUGUGUGUAUCAACUCUACCUUUUCUACAGAUGAAGGACAGAAGAGAAAGCUUGUCAUGGAGUCCCCUGACUAAAAUAUAGGCUGAUACAGAUGUCUGAACUGAGAGGCCGUGCACUCAUAAAAUUAUUCAAGAUUAGUCUUUUUGUUUUUAUUGAAUCGAAGGGGAACUGUCUUACAGUGAAUAUGGGACAUCAUACGAAGGGAUGACAACUAACAUGUACCACCAGACAAAAUGCUGAUGGGUACCAUAUCUGUAUUGGCUUGUGAAUGACAAUAGAAUAAGAAUAUUAUGCACAUCGUUACAGUACCAGUCAAAAGUUUGGACACCUACUCAGUCAAGGUUUUUUUCUUUAUUUUUACUAUUUUCUACAUUGUAGAAUAAUAGUGAAGAUAAACUAUGAAAUAGCACACAUGGAAUCAUGUACUAACCAAAAAAGUGUUAAACAAAUUAAAAUAUAUUUUGUAUUCUUCAAAGUAGCCACCCUUUGCCUUGACAGCUUUGCACACUCUUGGCAUUCUCUCAACUAGCUUCACCUGGAAUUCUAAAUAAAUCAGUGUCACCAGCAAAGCACCAUCACACCUCCUCCUCUAUGCUUCACGGUGGGAACCAUACAUGCGGAGAUCAUCCGUUCACCUAUUCUGCAUCUCACAAAGACACAGCAGUUGGAACCAAAAAUCUAAAAUUUGGACUCAUCAGACCAAAGGACAGAUUUUCACUGGUCUAAUUUCCAUUACUCGUGUUUCUUGGCCCAAGCAAGUCUCUUCGUCUUAUUGGUGUCCUUUAGUAGUGGUUUCUUUGCAGCAAUUUGACCAUGAAGGCCUGAUUCAUGCAGUCUCCUCUGAACAGUUGAUGUUGAGAUGUGUCUGUUACUUGAACUCUGUGAAGCAUUUAUUUGUGCUGCAAUCUGAGGUGCAGUUAACUCUAAUGAACUUAUCCUCUGCAGCAAAGGUAACUCUGGGCCUUCUUUUCCUGUGGCGGUCCUUGUGAGAGCCAGUUUCAUCAAAGCUCUUGAUGGUUUUUGCGACUGCAAUUUAAGAAACUUUCAAAGUUCUUGAAAUUUACUCACAUUGCCUGACCUUCAUGUCUUAAAGUAAUGAUGGAUUGUCGUUUCUCUUUGCUUAUUUGAGCUGGUCUUGCCAUAAUAUGGAAUUGGUAUUUUACCAAAUAGGGCCAUCUUCUGUAUACCAACACAACUGAUUGGCUCGAACCCAUUAAGAAGGAAAGAAAUUCCACAAAUUGACUUUUAACAAGGCACACCUAAUUAAUUGAAAUGCAUUCCACGUGUCUACCUCAUGAAGCUGGUUGAGAGAAUGCCAAUAGUGUGCAAAGCUGUCAAGGCAAAGGGUGGCUACUUUGAAGAAUACAAAAUAUAUGUUGAUUUGGUUACUACAUGAUUCCAUAUGUGUUAUUUCAUAGUGAUGUCUUCACUAUUAUUCUAAAAUGUAGGAAAUAGUAAAAAUAAAGGAACCCAGGAAUGAGUAGGUGUGUCCAGACUUUUGACUGAUAAUGUAUAUUGGGGACUGGAAAUUAUGCAGACAAUUACAUUGAUAGAUGCCACAAUAUAUCUGCAAUAUUAAAGCUGAGCUAUCCUCUAAAAUAUCAGCUUACAAUAAUUGUACUUCACAAUAGUGUUAUCUAAUUUGUCAAAGUAAGUUACAUUCUGUAUUUGUACAAAUGAUGAGCCUGUGAAAGCUGUUGCCGCUGACAGGUGAAGGUUGCUGGCUGGAUACUUGGCAAUACUGUACCAUUCAUAGGAAUGCUCACAGCAAGUGCAUGUCGGCAUGAUGCUUAUAAGGGCUCCAUUGCUGGUCUUCUCUAUGCUGCAUGUUCUGCUGCAAACUGGACAUAUCUUGAAAAACUGCAGCAGGCAAUCUUAUUAGGUGGUGUUGACUAGGAGGGACUGUGACAGGGUAAUAUAAUAGAUAGCCAAGUGGUAAAUUGCAUUUUGUUCUAAAGAAAGGAUGAAGCUUUUUGCUAAUGCACUUCACAACCAAAAUGACUAGUUGUAUCUGCUUGGCUGGGGAAUAAGCCUACUAGUUUAUCAAGCUGGGUAUUUUUUAAUACAAUUAUUCACGUAACACACUACCUGUCGUUGUUGAUUAAGCCUUCUGUGUCAUCAGGGCAAUACCUCAGGUCAGUAUCAGAGGCCUCAUGAUGGAGAGUCUUUUUCUUAGGAGUUGAGGGACACUGGCAAAAACGGAGGUGGCACAGGGAUACUUGUGUCGCAUGAUACUUUUAUUCUGAGGUCUUGCCUGAUAAGCUGUGAAAAUAACGUUUAGCAGUGAAUUCAAUUAUUUUUGGAGGUCGCUAAACCAUUGCAAACACAUGGCUGGACAUGGUAUGAUACCCACCUUUGUUCUUUCUGGUAAGUCCCGGCAUCCGUUCAUGACCAAACGAUCAGUCUGGCAUCCAACUGUGCAAUUUGUCUAACAGAAAAACAGGGUCAACGAUUGUCAUCAUCCCUCAAUUUUAAACACAGCUUGAGAAAUAACAAUCUCGUUUGGAAGCCAAUUCUAUGCUUUACAGAUGUAGAGUGACUCCAGAUUGGAUUAGAUUCAGGCCGGAGACACCGUUACCCUAUGCAACCAAUGGUGACAUGUUUUGUUAUGGGUUGGGUUUGUUGCUGCUAGUUAGUGCACUGUUGGCUAAUAGCUGCAUCCAGUGCUAUAGAAAAAAGAUUGAAACCGUCGAUCGAGAUUAUAUUCCUUAAAAGCGGCAACACUUUCUUGCCAUAUCAGAUAUAUCGCCUUAUAUCCAAUAUUAGUAAAGUAUUUUGCUGUCCACACGACAUUCAGAGUCCACUUUUCUCAUUUUCGCAGCACUCAUUUUUCACGUCAAAAGUCGUCAAGCAAUGAAGUGGCCCUUGAUCCGGCUCGAAGGAAAUGUUUCGGCUGGCGGGUAGAGCGUUGGGCCAGUAACUGAAAGGUUGCUGGAUCAAAUCCCCGAGCUGACAAGACAUCCAACAGGGGGACAGGCUGCACUGAGGGAGGAAGGGAAAGACGAUCGCCAGAGAUGCAGAACAUUCAGGACCAGAUCACUAAGCAUUUCUGUGGUGAAACAGGAACUCCUGAAACAGUAGGUGCCAUUCCUCAAGAGCUACAAACACAUCCAGACAAGCUCCAGAGCCCAGUUCACACUGCCAGGUCCUCAGCUGGUCUCAGGAGCGCUGAUAGACAUGGCCAAACACUUGGGAAACCUGCAGUUCAGAGUCUGGGACAAGAUGCAAGGGAUCAUCAAAUAUACUCCUGUGAGUAUAUAACACUGCAAACCCCUGCCUCUCACUGUCUGAUGAUCUGAGCAGUGUGAAACACCUUACCCCAAAACAUGCAGCUCCCUGACAACCCAGAGAGGAACAGGUUUAAUGCCCAGGUUCUGGCAUCUGAGGGGUUCAGCUGGGAGGUGGUGGGGGACCACCCUCACUGGUAUAUAGGCGUGGCCGAAGAGUCAAUCCACAGGAAUGGGGAAGGAUUUACAACCUGGACUGUACAACUGAGGAAUGGUAACUGUAGAUUUCACUCCAAAGAAGACACCCCAGAGGAUCAGAGUGCAGCUGGAUUAUCAGGGGGAGGUGUCCUUCUACAACACCAAACACAUGACACAUCUACACUCAUAAAGACACGUUUACUGAGAGACUGUUCCCAUACUUCUCUAAUGGAAAGGCUGGUGAUGCCAACCACCCUGAUAUGCAAAUCUGUCAACCAGAGGUGUCUGACAGUAAAUUCAUUUUUCACGCAUCAUGUUCAAAACAUCUAUACCUGACUUUGUUGAGCUUCACAAUAAAUUGUAGAUACUUUUGAAUGAUUUGGAGAUGAUGUGUGAAAAAAUGCUAAUAUUGGUCUUAUGACUUGAAUGGGAUUUGUGCCACAAAUGCUGAAACGUUAGCAUGUGGAAAUGGUGCCAGUGAAACUAAACCAAAACAUGGAUUUGCUGUCAUACCUUGUCCAUAGACUGCUUACAGCAAAAGGAAACCAAUUUGUCAUUUUGUUAUUUGGGUGAACUAUCCCUUUAAAGAUUGAAUCAAUACAUGGGAAGCCUUUGUAUGACAGCUGUCCUGAUUUGCAUCAAACUGAUUUAUACAGACAUUAUUUAACAUAAAUCAACAUCAAACUAUAUACAGUGAGCUCCAAAAGCAUUGGGACAGUGGCACAUUUUUUGUUUUGGCUCUGUACUCCAGCAUGUUGGAUGAUACAAUGAGGUUAAAGUGCAGACUGUCAGCUUUAAUUUGAGGGUAUUUUCGUCCAUAUCGAGUGAACCGUUUAGAAAUUACAGCACUUUUUGUACAUAGUUCCCCAUUUUAGGGGACCAAAAGUAUUGGGAAUUUCACUUAUGUGUAUUAAAGUUAAGUAUUUGGUCCCAUAUUCAUAGCAUGCAAUGACUACAUCAAGCUUGUGACUCUACAAAUUUGUUGGAUGCAUUUGCUGUUUGUUUUGGUUGUGUUUCAGAUUAUUUUGGGCCCAAUAAAAAUGAAUGGUAAAUAUUGUAUUGUCACUUUUAUUGUAAAUAAGAAAGAAUAUGUUUCUAAACACGUCUACAUAAAUGUGGACGCUACCAUGAUUACGGAUAAUUUUGAAUGAAUCGUGAGUAAUGAUGAGUGGCAAAAUUAGACGCACAAAUAUCAUAACCCGAAGACAUGCUAACAUCUCAGCAUUACAAUCAGAGGUUAGCAUAUGUGGUGGUGGGGGGUAAUGAUACUGUAUUUCUGCAUCUAACUUUCUCACUCAUUAGUCACAAUUCAUUCAGAAUGAUCUGUAACCAUGGUAGCAUCCACAUUAAUGUAGAAGGUUUUAGAAACAUUAUUCUUAUUUACAAUAAAAAUGAAUCAAAUGACACAAUACAUUAUUUACCAUUCAUUUCUAACACUUUCUUUUAUUUCAUGUUAGCUUGAGACUCAUAUGGUGAGUGGAGGCUGGCUAACCACAGGGAAAAACAACUUUAUAAGAAUUUUGUUAGUUUUUCCCCAAAGUUACCCAAUUGUGUUUUUCUCUGGGUUGGAAUGGACCAUGUGGAUCAUGCAAGUUGUCAAAUAUAGUAGAGUAGGAGGUUUUCUAAACUCUCUGGUUAAGGUCACUUUGGUUAGAAAUGUGACAAUAGAAUGAAACUGUUCCAGUAUUCUAUCAAGUCAGACACAGCCCUUAGACCACAUCCUGUAACGUGUAAAGGAAGUUAUUUGACAGCAACAUGAUUUACUGUUUAACUGUUGCACACCACAAUCACCUGUAGGCUAUUCAUUGACUGUAAAGACAUAUCUACAAAAUGUUUUAUGUGAUAUUAUUUGUUUUAAAAUUGCUUCAUAUUAUAGCAUGUAUUAUAAACUGGGUGGUUAGAGCCCUGAAUGCUGAUUGGCUGACAGCUGUGGUAUAUCAGACCUUAUACCACAGGUAUGACAAAACAUUUAUUUUUACUGCUCUAAUUAUGUUGAUAACCAGUUUAUAAUAGCAAGAAGGCACCUUGGGGGUUUGUGGUGUAUGGCCAAUAUACCAAUUCUAAGAGCUGUGUCCAGGCACUCGUCUGCUUAAGAACAGCCCUUUAUAACAAAUAUUCAGAUGAAAUAUAUUGUGCUAUUUAUCACACUCUACUUUGUGUCAAAGUUUAACAAGGACUCUCUCCUCACAAGUGUCAUGAUUAAAUAUAUGAUCAAGAGCCUCACAUACAGCAUAUCGUUUGGUUAUUGUGCUGCCACAGAAUGAAUUGUGAUCAAGGCCUCAAAAAAGCUUCAGAGCUGCGAGAAAAUGUCUAUAUAUUAUUGAAACAAUGUUGCGAUUGUUUGUGAGAAUGCCAACAGGUGUGGUUCCCGUGGGGGAAAGAUUCUAUUGGGGAAAGGUUCCCGUGGGGGUUGCCAUGGAAGCCAAGAAGGGGAGUGAGGGGUGUGUGUGUGUGUGUGUGUGCGUGCUCAAACACACAUGCAUGUGGGGGGCUGGGAGAAGAAGUGUGUCCA
rnacentral:lncRNA from 1 species